AUGAACGCUGGCGGCGUGCCUAAUACAUGCAAGUCGAGCGAACAGAUGAGGAGCUUGCUCCUCUGACGUUAGCGGCGGACGGGUGAGUAACACGUGGAUAACCUAGCUAUAAGACUGGGAUAACUUCGGGAAACCGGAGCUAAUACCGGAUAAUAUAUUGAACCGCACGGUUCAAUAGUGAAAGACGGUUUUGCUGUCACUUAUAGAUGGAUCCGCGCCGCAUUAGCUAGUUGGUAAGGUAACGGCUUACCAAGGCGACGAUGCGUAGCCGACCUGAGAGGGUGAUCGGCCACACUGGAACUGAGACACGGUCCAGACUCCUACGGGAGGCAGCAGUAGGGAAUCUUCCGCAAUGGGCGAAAGCCUGACGGAGCAACGCCGCGUGAGUGAUGAAGGUCUUCGGAUCGUAAAACUCUGUUAUUAGGGAAGAACAAAUGUGUAAGUAACUAUGCACGUCUUGACGGUACCUAAUCAGAAAGCCACGGCUAACUACGUG
rnacentral:rRNA from 1 species